rnacentral:rRNA from 1 species
GAUGAACGCUGGCGGCGUGCCUAAUACAUGCAAGUCGAGCGAACGGACGAGAAGCUUGCUUCUCUGAUGUUAGCGGCGGACGGGUGAGUAAAACGUGGAUAACCUACCUAUAAGACUGGGAUAACUUCGGGAAACCGGAGCUAAUACCGGAUGAUAUUUUGAACCGCAUGGUUCAAAAGUGAAAGACGGUCUUGCUGUCACUUAUAGAUGGAUCCGCGCUGCAUUAGCUAGUUGGUAAGGUAACGGCUUACCAAGGCAACGAUGCAUAGCCGACCUGAGAGGGUGAUCGGCGACACUGGAAAUGAGACACGGGCCAGACUCCUACGGGAGGCAGCAGUAGGGAAUCUUCCGCAAUGGGCGAAAGCCUGACGGAGCAACGCCGCGUGAGUGAUGAGGGGCUUCGGAUCGUAAAACUCUGUUAUGAGGGAAGAACAUAUGUGUAAGUAACUGUGCACAUCUUGACGGUACCUAAUCAGAAAGCGACGGCUAACUACGUG